AAUAUUAAACGCAAGAAGCAUCAUCCCCCUUCACCACCACCGUCUGGAUUCGAUUUGGAGGGAGCUUCUUCUUGGAUCUAGCCUCACCACCACUGUCUGUUUCUUCUACAACUCUUAAGUCCUCUCUCUUUGAACCAAGAUGGGGUUGAUUUUCUGUCCAUACUUUCUCCAUAUAUAGCCAUCUUCCAUCAGGUUUUAUUUGCCCAUUUGUGCCACUGCUUCUCAUAGCUUGCACUCUCAUCAAUUCUUAAUUACCUGUUCAUCUUGGAUAAGCAUUACUACUUAAUUUGUUGUACUUUUAGUUAACCAAACUCGUUUCUCAAAUGUUUUUUUAUUUUAUAUCAGGUUGUGUGUGGAAAUUUUGGAAUUAAUGGAAGUAGUUUGGUUUAAUAACUUUGAAUUUUAUUGUUAUUUAAGUUAAUAUUAGAAUAUAUCUAGUGUUCUCUUUUUCUCUGCAUGUCAUGCCUUAAUAGUGACAAACAUAUUUCACCUUCAUUUUAGUAAAUAGUAAGAAUGAUAGGAACUCCAAGUAAACAAAAAUUGGUACUCUUUUUGUGUGAUGUUAAAGAAAAUUUAAUUCAAUUCAAUAACUACAUUUCCGUAAAAUGUUCAUGAUCUUUUUCUUUUCGUAUUUGUUUCUCUGGUUUGUAAAAUUGAAUGUCCAUACUAUAGAAUAAAUUGUCUAAUUGAACCAAUGUGCCAAAAUAUCAGAGAAGAGUAUGGAUAAAACUGUAAAGAUAUAUUCAAUGUAUUUUUGCAGAGGCACUUCUAUAUUGAAACUUUGUUAAUGAUUAUAUUGUUAAAGUUAGGAUGCUUGUAAGCUUGUAGAACAUGUUAUUAUUUAGCACUGUUUUUAAGGCUGAAGCACGAAACUUUUAAGGGAAAAAAAAAUGUUAAACAUGAUUUAUUUACAUGCUUGACUAUACAUUGCAUUAAUACAGUACAUUAAAAUGUUAUGCUUGCAAGUUGAUGAGCUGAAUAUGCUCACCUUUGAUGUAUGGACAUAAUGCCAUAGCUGUGAAUGAAUUUCAAAGUCAAGUAGAUUUAUGGCUAGUGGUGAGAAAGAAAAACCAUCCUUGCUGGCCAAGAAUGUUAAAGUGUCAUUUCCAAGUGGUUCUAUGGUUGCAAUCCUUGAUGAGUUGGAAGAAAUUGCAUCAAGACCUAGUCAAACUCCAACACUCCCCCACAUUGGUUCUACUAGUAAGAGAAAAAGAGGUCCUACCAAAUGUCUCAAGACUCAUGGUUUGAGAUAUGAUGAGCGUUUACCGGUUAAACUUAAUGUCCUUGGUCAACCUGUUGGCACUUAUCGAGCUACAUUGAGCAAUUAUUUGGGAACAUUAGCUAGGAAUGCACAUUUAGCUCCUCUAACUUUUACUAGUUGGAAAGGAUUGAAAGAACAUUGGAAUGACAUGUGGAAAACAGUAUUGUCAAAAUUUGAUAUUGAAGAACGUGCUAAAAAGUGGGUUUUAGGAAGCAUAUGUUCAAGUUGGAGGAACCACAAAUGUCGAUUGAAGACAAAGUAUUUUUUUCCAAAUAUGCCAGAUGAUUACAACUUCAAAAAUCGACCCCCAAGUGUUCCACUUGAGCAGUGGAAAAUUCUUAUUAAAUUUUGGAAAUCUGACAUAGCUAAGGUUCGCUGUGAGAAGAACAAAACAAGCAGAGCAAAAUUUACUUCUGUACAUACCACAGGAACAAAAACCUUUGCUGAAAUACGAUAUGAAGAGAUGAUGAAAAAUAUUGAUGGAAGAGAGCCAUCUCGUGCAGAAAUGUUCAUCAUGACACAUAAGCCUAAAAAUGAGGAAACCAAAGAGAUUAUUUCAAAGCUUGAGGAUGCAAUUUCUUCGCAUUCAAUAGAACUAGAGAAAAACUCAACCCGAGAUGAUGUAUUUUUCCAAGUCUUUGGAAAAGAUCGACAUGGUUAUGUGCGCACAUAUGGAAAAGGGGUUUCACCUUCCGAUCUAUGGGGAUCUAACUCCCGAGUUGGAAUACAAAAAUUAAUUGAUGAAGUUCAAAGGAAUGCUCAGGUUGAACUACAAAGCAUGAAAAACAGAAUGCAAGAGGAAAUGGAAAUAAAGCUAAAAGAGCAAGUGAAGGAGCAAGUGGAAACCAAACUAAAAGAGCAACUAGAAGCAAUGAAAGUUGAGCUUCUAAAGAACUUCAAAAUCGCUUUUACUCAAAUCCCAAGUUAUGCUCCAGAAGUAAUGGUUUCAAAUUUGAAUAAAGAGGAGGUGGACAUUGAAGAUGAUCCAACAUUGAAGAUGAUGGAUAAUGAUGACAACAUCUCUCAUAAAGUUAUUGAAGAUCCUACAAGUGAGCUCGUAGAGAAAAAUGCACAUGCCUUGAUCUUUCCAUUCACUCAUACUAGCCCCAGGAGAAAAAAGGAAAAAGUGCAGAAAACUAACACCAAGUUAACUAAGAGGAAAUUAGAAGAUCUUAAUGUUGAAAUUGUCACACUUGAUAAAGAUCUUAGCAUUCUCAAACAUCCAUCCAAUGCCUUUGAGCUUUUCUUGCAAGAAUUUGCAAACAACUAUAAAGAAACAAAAGUUGAUUUAGACAAUUUUGAAAGGGUUAAGAAAAAAGCUGUUAAGGCAUGGAACUCUCUGACAAAUAAAGAAUUAGAGUCUUAUUUCAAUGCAGCAACUAAACUCAAAAGAAAAUUACAUUUGAGUACAUUAAAGGAAAGUGUUGUUGAAGGAAAAGAAAUAGGAAAAAGAGAGCGGAGACCUAAAAUUCAUUUUGACGGGACUGACUUGAAAAAAUUGAAACAAGAGAAAUCUCACAAGUUUGCUAAAUGAUGCACAUACAUUGUUACAUGCAAAUGAGCUGAAGAAGCGGCUUGAAUAAGGUAAUGAUCGUAGGAAGUUCAACAUCAAAAGAUUCUGAAUCAAGAAGAUGAUGAAGAAUAAGACUGAAAUUAAAGCUAAUUCAGUAUCAUAUCUCCAAGAAAUUCUGAACUAUCAAAAUAAAAAUCCAUGCAUUAGUAACAGAAGAAGAGAAGGACAGUUCAAUUUAUGUUGAUGGUUAUUAAGAUCAUAUUUUAAACUUGAGAUUUUCCAUGUUUUA